UUUACUUUUAUUGUUUUCGGGUUUUAGCAACAUUUUGUUUAUUGUACUGUAUGGUAUUUACUCAUGAUUCAUUUAACUCACACACAUGAACAUAACGUUUCUGAUUCAUUGUGUUUUCUCUUUCUGUCUUCAGUCUGUGUGAUUGCAGCAUUACAGAGAAACAGUUUAUCAUCCUGGCUUCAGCUCUGAAAUCAAACCCAUCUCACCUGAGAGAACUGAAGCUGAGCUGGAAUAAACUAGGAGACUCUGGAGUGAAAAACCUCCGUGAUCUACUGAUGGACACACAGUUCAAGCUGGAGAAACUACAUCUGUGUGAUUGCAGUAUUACAAAGAAACAGUGUAUCAUCCUGACUUCAGCUUUGAAAUCAAACCCAUCACACCUGAGAGAACUGAAUCUGAGCUGGAAUAAACUAGGAGUCUCUGGAGUGAAAAACCUCAGUGAUCUACUGAUGGACACACAGUUCAAGCUGGAGAAACUAGAUCUGUGUGGAUGCAGUAUUACAGAGAAACAGUGUAUCAUCCUGACUUCAGCUCUG